rnacentral:rRNA from 4 species
GGGUUGUGAGGUUAAGCGACUAAGCGUACACGGUGGAUGCCCUGGCAGUCAGAGGCGAUGAAGGGCGUACUAAUCUGCGAUAAGCGCCGGUAAGGUGAUAUGAACCGUUAUAACCGGCGAUACCCGAAUGGGGAAACCCAGUGUGAUUCGUCACACUAUCAUUAACUGAAUCCAUAGGUUAAUGAGGCGAACCGGGGGAACUGAAACAUCUAAGUACCCCGAGGAAAAGAAAUCAACCGAGAUUCCCCCAGUAGCGGCGAGCGAACGGGGAGGAGCCCAGAGCCUGAAUCAGCAUGUGUGUUAGUGGAAGCGUCUGGAAAGGCGCGCGAUACAGGGUGACAGCCCCGUACACAAAAGCGCAUGUGCUGUGAGCUCGAUGAGUAGGGCGGGACACGUGGUAUCCUGUCUGAAUAUGGGGGGACCAUCCUCCAAGGCUAAAUACUCCUGACUGACCGAUAGUGAACCAGUACCGUGAGGGAAAGGCGAAAAGAACCCCGGCGAGGGGAGUGAAAAAGAACCUGAAACCGUGUACGUACAAGCAGUGGGAGCACAGGUUUACCUGUGUGACUGCGUACCUUUUGUAUAAUGGGUCAGCGACUUAUAUUCUGUAGCAAGGUUAACCGAAUAGGGGAGCCGGAGGGAAACCGAGUCUUAAUUGGGCGUUAAGUUGCAGGGUAUAGACCCGAAACCCGGUGAUCUAGCCAUGGGCAGGUUGAAGGUUGGGUAACACUAACUGGAGGACCGAACCGACUAAUGUUGAAAAAUUAGCGGAUGACCUGUGGCUGGGGGUGAAAGGCCAAUCAAACCGGGAGAUAGCUGGUUCUCCCCGAAAGCUAUUUAGGUAGCGCCUCGUGAAUUCAUCUCCGGGGGUAGAGCACUGUUUCGGCUAGGGGGCCAUCCCGGCUUACCAACCCGAUGCAAACUGCGAAUACCGGAGAAUGUUAUCACGGGAGACACACGGCGGGUGCUAACGUCCGUCGUGAAGAGGGAAACAACCCAGACCGCCAGCUAAGGUCCCAAAGUCAUGGUUAAGUGGGAAACGAUGUGGGAAGGCCCAGACAGCCAGGAUGUUGGCUUAGAAGCAGCCAUCAUUUAAAGAAAGCGUAAUAGCUCACUGGUCGAGUCGGCCUGCGCGGAAGAUGUAACGGGGCUAAACCAUGCACCGAAGCUGCGGCAGCGACACUGUGUGUUGUUGGGUAGGGGAGCGUUCUGUAAGCCUGUGAAGGUGUGUCGUGAGGCAUGCUGGAGGUAUCAGAAGUGCGAAUGCUGACAUAAGUAACGAUAAAGCGGGUGAAAAGCCCGCUCGCCGGAAGACCAAGGGUUCCUGUCCAACGUUAAUCGGGGCAGGGUGAGUCGACCCCUAAGGCGAGGCCGAAAGGCGUAGUCGAUGGGAAACGGGUUAAUAUUCCCGUACUUGGUGUUACUGCGAAGGGGGGACGGAGAAGGCUAUGUUGGCCGGGCGACGGUUGUCCCGGUUUAAGCGUGUAGGUGUGUGUUCCAGGUAAAUCCGGUUCACUUUAACACUGAGGCGUGACGACGAGGCACUACGGUGCUGAAGCAACAAAUGCCCUGCUUCCAGGAAAAGCCUCUAAGCAUCAGGUAACAUCAAAUCGUACCCCAAACCGACACAGGUGGUCAGGUAGAGAAUACCAAGGCGCUUGAGAGAACUCGGGUGAAGGAACUAGGCAAAAUGGUGCCGUAACUUCGGGAGAAGGCACGCUGACACGUAGGUGAAGUGAUUUACUCAUGGAGCUGAAGUCAGUCGAAGAUACCAGCUGGCUGCAACUGUUUAUUAAAAACACAGCACUGUGCAAACACGAAAGUGGACGUAUACGGUGUGACGCCUGCCCGGUGCCGGAAGGUUAAUUGAUGGGGUCAGCGCAAGCGAAGCUCCUGAUCGAAGCCCCGGUAAACGGCGGCCGUAACUAUAACGGUCCUAAGGUAGCGAAAUUCCUUGUCGGGUAAGUUCCGACCUGCACGAAUGGCGUAAUGAUGGCCAGGCUGUCUCCACCCGAGACUCAGUGAAAUUGAACUCGCUGUGAAGAUGCAGUGUACCCGCGGCAAGACGGAAAGACCCCGUGAACCUUUACUAUAGCUUGACACUGAACAUUGAGCCUUGAUGUGUAGGAUAGGUGGGAGGCUUUGAAGUGUGGACGCCAGUCUGCAUGGAGCCGACCUUGAAAUACCACCCUUUAAUGUUUGAUGUUCUAACGUGGACCCGUUACCCGGGUUGCGGACAGUGUCUGGUGGGUAGUUUGACUGGGGCGGUCUCCUCCUAAAGAGUAACGGAGGAGCACGAAGGUUGGCUAAUCCUGGUCGGACAUCAGGAGGUUAGUGCAAUGGCAUAAGCCAGCUUGACUGCGAGCGUGACGGCGCGAGCAGGUGCGAAAGCAGGUCAUAGUGAUCCGGUGGUUCUGAAUGGAAGGGCCAUCGCUCAACGGAUAAAAGGUACUCCGGGGAUAACAGGCUGAUACCGCCCAAGAGUUCAUAUCGACGGCGGUGUUUGGCACCUCGAUGUCGGCUCAUCACAUCCUGGGGCUGAAGUAGGUCCCAAGGGUAUGGCUGUUCGCCAUUUAAAGUGGUACGCGAGCUGGGUUUAGAACGUCGUGAGACAGUUCGGUCCCUAUCUGCCGUGGGCGCUGGAGAACUGAGGGGGGCUGCUCCUAGUACGAGAGGACCGGAGUGGACGCAUCACUGGUGUUCGGGUUGUCAUGCCAAUGGCACUGCCCGGUAGCUAAAUGCGGAAGAGAUAAGUGCUGAAAGCAUCUAAGCACGAAACUUGCCCCGAGAUGAGUUCUCCCUGAGACUUAAAGUCUCCUGAAGGAACGUUGAAGACGACGACGUUGAUAGGCCGGGUGUGUAAGCGCAGCGAUGCGUUGAGCUAACCGGUACUAAUGAACCGUGAGGCUUAACCUUACAACGCCGAAG